rnacentral:rRNA from 1 species
GAUGAACGCUGGCGGCGUGCCUAAUACAUGCAAGUCGAGCGAACGGACGAGAAGCUUGCUUCUCUGAUGUUAGCGGCGGACGGGUGAGUAACACGUGGAUAACCUACCUAUAAGACUGGGAUAACUUCGGGAAACCGGAGCUAAUACCGGAUAAUAUUUUGAACCGCAUGGUUCAAAAGUGAAAGACGGUCUUGCUGUCACUUAUAGAUGGAUCCGCGCCGCAUUAGCUAGUUGGUAAGGUAACGGCUUACCAAGGCAACGAUGCAUAGCCGACCUGAGAGGGUGAUCGGCCACACUGGAACUGAGACACGGUCCAGACUCCUACGGGAGGCAGCAGUAGGGAAUCUUCCGCAAUGGGCGAAAGCCUGACGGAGCAACGCCGCGUGAGUGAUGAGGGUCUUCGGAUCGUAAAACUCUGUUAUUAGGGAAGAACAUAUGUGUAAGUAACUGUGCACAUCUUGACGGUACCUAAUCAGAAAGCCACGGCUAACUACGUG